UACGUAGGGGGCAAGCGUUGUCCGGAUUUAUUGGGCGUAAAGAGCGUGUAGGCGGCCAGACAGGUCCGUUGUGAAAACUCGAGGCUCAACCUCGAGAUGUCGAUGGAAACCGUCUGGCUAGAGUCCGGAAGAGGAGUGUGGAAUUCCUGGUGUAGCGGUGAAAUGCGCAGAUAUCAGGAAGAACACCUAUGGCGAAGGCAGCACUCUGGGACGGUACUGACGCUGAGGAGCGAAAGCGUGGGUAGCGAACAGG
rnacentral:rRNA from 1 species